CUCGUACUCCCUCCGUUCGAAAUUACUUGUCGCAGAAACGGAUGUAUCUAGACAUAUUUUAAUUCUAGAUAUAUCCAUUUCCGAGACAAGUAAUUCUGAACGGAGGGAGUACGUG
rnacentral:pre_miRNA from 1 species